AAAAAGAAAUGGCAGACUAUGGAGACUAAGCACAUUUCAGCAGAAGUACAGAAGUUACUACGCAUAAGUGCUGCUAUGAUAUGAGAGAAAUCUGUUUAUUUUGAACUGGAUAAUGUACAUUCUGUUCUGAGAUUUCUCCGGUUGGGUUUUUUUUUUUUUGGACGACCGAUACCUGAACGAGCCAGUGGUUCCAGAAGCAGGAGGGUCCCGCCGCCAUCUUUGUGACUCGGACUGAAGCCUGGAAAGACGGAGGUUCUGGUGCUGCUGGAGCUGGAGAUUUUGCGUGGACAACAGAUAAGCUUAUUGAACA